UUAAGUUAGAAAGGGCGCACGGUGGAUGCCUUGGCACUAGGAGCCGAUGAAGGACGGGACGAACACCGAUAUGCUUCGGGGAGCUGUAAGCAAGCUUUGAUCCGGAGAUUUCCGAAUGGGGAAACCCACCACUCGUAAUGGAGUGGUAUCCAUAUCUGAAUACAUAGGAUAUGAGAAGGCAGACCCGGGGAACUGAAACAUCUAAGUACCCGGAGGAAGAGAAAGCAAAUGCGAUUCCCUGAGUAGCGGCGAGCGAAAUGGGACCAGCCCAAACCAAGAGGCUUGCCUCUUGGGGUUGUAGGACACUCUGUACGGAGUUACAAAGGAACGAGGUAGAUGAAGAGGUCUGGAAAGGCCCGCCAUAGAAGGUAACAGCCCUGUAGUCAAAACUUCGUUCUCUCCUGAGUGGAUCCUGAGUACGGCGGAACACGUGAAAUUCCGUCGGAAUCCGGGAGGACCAUCUCCCAAGGCUAAAUACUCCCUAGUGACCGAUAGUGAACCAGUACCGUGAGGGAAAGGUGAAAAGCACCCCGGAAGGGGAGUGAAAGAGAUCCUGAAACCGUGUGCCUACAAGUAGUCAGAGCCCGUUAACGGGUGAUGGCGUGCCUUUUGUAGAAUGAACCGGCGAGUUACGAUCCCGUGCAAGGUUAAGCAGAAGAUGCGGAGCCGCAGCGAAAGCGAGUCUGAAUAGGGCGAAUUGAGUACGUGGUCGUAGACCCGAAACCAGGUGAUCUACCCAUGUCCAGGGUGAAGUUCAGGUAACACUGAAUGGAGGCCCGAACCCACGCACGUUGAAAAGUGCGGGGAUGAGGUGUGGGUAGGGGUGAAAUGCCAAUCGAACCUGGAGAUAGCUGGUUCUCUCCGAAAUAGCUUUAGGGCUAGCCUCAAGGUAAGAGUCUCGGAGGUAGAGCACUGAUUGGACUAGGGGCCCCUACCGGGUUACCGAAUUCAGUCAAACUCCGAAUGCCGAUGACUUAUCCUUGGGAGUCAGACUGCGAGUGAUAAGAUCCGUAGUCGAAAGGGAAACAGCCCAGACCGCCAGCUAAGGUCCCAAAGUAUACGUUAAGUGGAAAAGGAUGUGGAGUUGCUUAGACAACCAGGAUGUUGGCUUAGAAGCAGCCACCAUUUAAAGAGUGCGUAAUAGCUCACUGGUCGAGUGACUCUGCGCCGAAAAUGUACCGGGGCUAAACGUAUCACCGAAGCUGCGGACUGUUCUUCGAACAGUGGUAGGAGAGCGUUCUAAGGGCUGUGAAGCAAGACCGGAAGGACUUGUGGAGCGCUUAGAAGUGAGAAUGCCGGUAUGAGUAGCGAAAGAGGGGUGAGAAUCCCCUCCACCGAAUGCCUAAGGUUUCCUGAGGAAGGCUCGUCCGCUCAGGGUUAGUCGGGACCUAAGCCGAGGCCGAAAGGCGUAGGCGAUGGAUAACAGGUUGAUAUUCCUGUACCACCUCCUCACCAUUUGAGCAAUGGGGGGACGCAGGAGGAUAGGGUAAGCGCGGUGUUGGAUAUCCGCGUCCAAGCAGUUAGGCUGGGAAAUAGGCAAAUCCGUUUCCCGUGAAGGCUGAGCUGUGAUGGCGAGCGAAUUAUAGUAGCGAAGUUCCUGAUUCCACACUGCCAAGAAAAGCCUCUAGCGAGGUGAGAGGUGCCCGUACCGCAAACCGACACAGGUAGGCGAGGAGAGAAUCCUAAGGUGAUCGAGAGAACUCUCGUUAAGGAACUCGGCAAAAUGACCCCGUAACUUCGGGAGAAGGGGUGCUCUGUUAGGGUGCAAGCCCGAGAGAGCCGCAGUGAAUAGGCCCAGGCGACUGUUUAGCAAAAACACAGGUCUCUGCGAAGCCGUAAGGCGAAGUAUAGGGGCUGACGCCUGCCCGGUGCUGGAAGGUUAAGAGGAGCGCUUAGCGUAAGCGAAGGUGCGAAUUGAAGCCCCAGUAAACGGCGGCCGUAACUAUAACGGUCCUAAGGUAGCGAAAUUCCUUGUCGGGUAAGUUCCGACCCGCACGAAAGGCGCAACGAUCUGGGCACUGUCUCAACGAGAGACUCGGUGAAAUUAUAGUACCUGUGAAGAUGCAGGUUACCCGCGACAGGACGGAAAGACCCCGUGGAGCUUUACUGCAGCCUGAUAUUGAAUGUUGGUACAGCUUGUACAGGAUAGGUAGGAGCCUUGGAAACCGGAGCGCCAGCUUCGGUGGAGGCAUCGGUGGGAUACUACCCUGGCUGUAUUGACCUUCUAACCCGCCGCCCUUAUCGGGCGGGGAGACAGUGUCAGGUGGGCAGUUUGACUGGGGCGGUCGCCUCCUAAAAGGUAACGGAGGCGCCCAAAGGUUCCCUCAGAAUGGUUGGAAAUCAUUCGCAGAGUGUAAAGGCACAAGGGAGCUUGACUGCGAGACCUACAAGUCGAGCAGGGACGAAAGUCGGGCUUAGUGAUCCGGUGGUUCCGCAUGGAAGGGCCAUCGCUCAACGGAUAAAAGCUACCCCGGGGAUAACAGGCUUAUCUCCCCCAAGAGUCCACAUCGACGGGGAGGUUUGGCACCUCGAUGUCGGCUCAUCGCAUCCUGGGGCUGUAGUCGGUCCCAAGGGUUGGGCUGUUCGCCCAUUAAAGCGGUACGCGAGCUGGGUUCAGAACGUCGUGAGACAGUUCGGUCCCUAUCCGUCGCGGGCGCAGGAAAUUUGAGAGGAGCUGUCCUUAGUACGAGAGGACCGGGAUGGACGCACCGCUGGUGUACCAGUUGUUCUGCCAAGGGCAUCGCUGGGUAGCUAUGUGCGGACGGGAUAAGUGCUGAAAGCAUCUAAGCAUGAAGCCCCCCUCAAGAUGAGAUUUCCCAUUCCGCAAGGAAGUAAGAUCCCUGAAAGAUGAUCAGGUUGAUAGGUCUGAGGUGGAAGUGUGGCGACACAUGGAGCUGACAGAUACUAAUCGAUCGAGGACUUAACCAA
rnacentral:rRNA from 1 species